rnacentral:rRNA from 1 species
UACGUAGGGUGCGAGCGUUAAUUCGGAAUUACGUGGGCGUAAAGCGUGCGCAGGCGGCGCGUUUAAGACCAGGUGUGAAAGCCCCGAGCUUAACUUGGGAAUUGCGCUUGUGACUGGCGUGCUGGAGUGUGGCAGAGGGAGGUGGAAUUCCACGUGUAGCAGUGAAAUUCGUAGAUAUUCGCAAGAACACCAGUGGCGAAGGCGGCUCACUGGCCCGAUACUGACGACUGAGGCAGGAAAGCGUGGGGAAGCCAAACAGGGAUUAAGAAACCCCCGGGAUAGUCCCAGA